UAACGUGAAGUCAGCUAACAUUUUUUUUUAAUAAAGUUUAACUGUCAGAAACAUUUGUAAUCCAUAAAAUCAUACGUUUGUUUUUUGUUUGUGCAGCUAAUA